rnacentral:rRNA from 1 species
UACGGAGGGGGCUAGCGUUGUCCGGAAUUACUGGGCGUAAAGCGCUCGUAGGCGGAUUGAUCAGUCAGAGGUGAAAGCCCGGGGCUCAACCCCGGAAUUGCCUUUGAUACUGUCAGUCUAGAGUCCGAGAGAGGUGAGUGGAAUUCCUAGUGUAGAGGUGAAAUUCGUAGAUAUUAGGAAGAACACCAGUGGCGAAGGCGGCUCACUGGCUCGGUACUGACGCUGAGGAGCGAAAGCGUGGGGAGCAAACAGG